GUGGCUAUAGCUCAGUUGGUUAGAGCACUAGAUUGUGAUUCUAGGGGUCGCGGGUUCGAGUCCCGUUAGCCACC
rnacentral:tRNA from 3 species